rnacentral:rRNA from 1 species
AUUGAACGCUGGCGGCAUGCUUUACACAUGCAAGUCGAACGGUAGACCCUUUCGGGGGUUGAGAGUGGCGAACGGGUGAGUAAUGCAUCGGAACGUGCCUAGUCGUGGGGGAUAACGUAGCGAAAGUUACGCUAAUACCGCAUACGCACUGAGGUGGAAAGCGGGGGACCGUAAGGCCUCGCGCGAUUGGAGCGGCCGAUGUCGGAUUAGCUAGUUGGUGAGGUAAAGGCUCACCAAGGCGACGAUCUGUAGCGGGUCUGAGAGGAUGAUCCGCCACACUGGAACUGAGACACGGUCCAGACUCCUACGGGAGGCAGCAGUGGGGAAUUUUGGACAAUGGGCGCAAGCCUGAUCCAGCCAUGCCGCGUGAGUGAAGAAGGCC